rnacentral:rRNA from 2 species
GCGUAAGCGCGCGCAGGCGGUUUCUUAAGUCUGAUGUGAAAGCCCACGGCUCAACCGUGGAGGGUCAUUGGAAACUGGGGAACUUGAGUGCAGAAGAGAAAAGCGGAAUUCCACGUGUAGCGGUGAAAUGCGUAGAGAUGUGGAGGAACACCAGUGGCGAAGGCGGCUUUUUGGUCUGUAACUGACGCUGAGGCGCGAAAGCGUGGGGAGCAAACAGGAUUAGAUACCCUGGUAGUCCACGCCGUAAACGAUGAGUGCUAAGUGUUAGAGGGUUUCCGCCCUUUAUUGCUGCACCUAACGCAUUAAGCACUCCGCCUGGGGAGUACGGUCGCAAGACUGAAACUCAAAGGAAUUGACGGGGGCCCCCACAACCGGU